UGUGCCUUUAGUCUGAGGAUGACCAGAAGACCAGCAGCAGUGGCAGUAGGGCUAAAUCUGCAGCCGACAGCCACCCCUCCUACUCCUCUAGUUUCUGUGAGUUUGACGAUGACACGGCCGACCUCAGGAGCAACAGCCGCAGCGGCUCCGUCAAGAUGGAGAAUGCCAGAUACUGUUACCUUAGCGAUGUCUCCAGCCUCAGUGAGCUUGAGGAGCGCAGGAGCAUCGGCGUUCUGAAGGAUGAGCCUGCUGAUGACUGCUGCCUGGGAACCGCCUCUGACCUUUGUGAG